UAGAUAAAAAAGUUCGUCGAGACAAACUUUAAGUUGGCUUGAGAAAGGCGGUGCAGAAAGUUUGAAAAAGUUAGAAAAGUUUGAAAAGUUUAAGAAGUUUAAAAAGUUUUAAGUUUGAUGGUUUUCAGUCUGAGAUAGAUCAGAUAGAUAGAUAGAUAUAUAGAUAGAUAGAUAGAUAGACACAGUCAGAAGAUAGAUAGAUAGAUCUAGGGUCCCCAGGAGUGGUUGCUAAGGUGUUGCUAAGCGGUUGCUAGGGUACCCUGAGUGGUUGCUAAGGUGUUGCUAUGCGGUUGCUAGGGUAUCUGGGAUGGUUGCUAGGGUGUUGCUAUGCGGUUGCUAGGGUACCCUGAGUGGUUGCUAAGGUGUUGCUAUGCGGUUGCUAGGGUAUCUGGGAUGGUUGCUAGGGUGUUGCUAUGCGGUUGCUAGGGUACCCUGAGUGGUUGCUAAGGUGUUUCUAUGCGGUUGCUAGGGUAUCUGGGAUGGUUGCUAGGGUGUUGCUAUGCGGUUGCUAGGGUACCCCGAGUGGUUGCUAAGGUGUUGCUAUGCGGUUGCUAGGGUAUCUGGGAUGGUUGCUAGGGUGUUGCUAUGCGGUUGCUAGGGUACCCCGAGUGGUUGCUAAGGUGUUGCUAUGCGGUUGCUAGGGUAUCUGGGAUGGUUGCUAGGGUGUUGCUAUGCGGUUGCUAGGGUACCCUGAGUGGUUGCUAAGGUGUUGCUAUGCGGUUGCUAGGGUAUCUGGGAUGGUUGCUAGGGUGUUGCUAUGCGGUUGCUAGGGUACCCUGAGUGGUUGCUAAGGUGUUGCUAUGCGGUUGCUAGUGUUACUGGGAUGGUUGCUAGGGUGUUGCUAU